rnacentral:rRNA from 1 species
UACGAAGGGGGCUAGCGUUGCUCGGAAUGACUGGGCGUAAAGGGCGCGUAGGCGGCUUGCACCGUCAGAUGUGAAAUUCCUGGGCUUAACCUGGGGCUGGCAUUUGAUACGUGUGGGCUUGAGUUGCGGAAGAGGGUCGUGGGAAUUCCCAGUGUAGAGGUGGAAAAUGCGCAGAUAUCGUAAGGAAGACCAGUGGCGAAGGCGGGUCUCUGGACAGUUCCUGACGCUGAGGCACGAAGGCCAGGGGAGCAAACGGG